GCUACGGGAGGCAGCAGUGAGGAAUAUUGGUCAAUGGGCGAGAGCCUGAACCAGCCAAGUCGCGUGAAGGAUGAAGGAUCUAUGGUUUGUAAACUUCUUUUAUAUGGGUAUAAAGUGAGGAACGUGUUCCUUUUUGUAUGUACCAUAUGAAUAAGCAUCGGCUAACUCCGUGCCAGCAGCCGCGGUAAUACGGAGGAUGCGAGCGUUAUCCGGAUUUAUUGGGUUUAGAGGGUGCGUAGGUGGUUAAUUAAGUCAGCGGUGAUCGUUUGUGGCUCAAACAUAAAAUUGCCGGUGAAACUGGUUGACUUGAGGAUAUUUGAGGAAGGCGACAUGCGGGGUGUAGAGGUGAAAUGCAUAGAUAUCACGCAGAACUCCGAUUGCGAAGGCAGCUUACUAAACUAUAACUGACACUGAAGCACGAAAGCGUGGGGAUGAAACAGGAUUAGAUACCCCUGUAGUA
rnacentral:rRNA from 1 species